GACAGAGGGUGCAAACGUUGUUCGGAAUUACUGGGCGUAAAGCGUGUGUAGGUGGCCGCGCAAGUCGGAUGUGAAAGCCCUGGGCUCAACUCAGGAAGUGCACCCGAUACUGCGUGGCUCGAGUACCGGAGAGGUUGGUGGAAUUCUCGGUGUAGAGGUGAAAUUCGUAGAUAUCGAGAGGAACACCUGUGGCGAAGGCGGCCAACUGGACGAGUACUGACACUGAGACACGAAAGCGUGGGGAGCAAACCGG
rnacentral:rRNA from 1 species